rnacentral:rRNA from 1 species
UACGAAGGCCCCGAGCGUUAUCCGGAUUUACUGGGCGUAAAGGGUGUGUAGGGGGUUUAGCGCGUCUUUUGCCAAAUCUUGCCGCUUAACGGCAAGCCCGCGGAGGAUACGGCUAAACUAGAGGGUGCGAGAGGUUUACGGAACGCACGGUGUAGGGGUGAAAUCCGUUGAUAUCGUGCGGAACACCAAAGGCGAAGGCAGUAAACUGGCGCAUCCCUGACCCUGAAACACGAAAGCGUGGGGAGCAAAAAGG